rnacentral:misc_RNA from 1 species
GGAUGACAGGCACGUUGCACCUAGC